GACAGAGGGUGCAAACGUUGUUCGGAAUUACUGGGCGUAAAGCGCGUGUAGGCGGCUAAGUAAGUCGGGCGCGAAAUCCCACGGCUCAACCGUGGAAGUGCACUCGAAACUGCAUAGCUAGAGUCCUGGAGAGGAAGGUGGAAUGCUUGGUGUAGAGGUGAAAUUCGUAGAUAUUGGGAAGAACACCGGUGGCGAAGGCGGCGACCUGGUCCGACACUGACGCUGAGGCGCGAAAGCGUGGGGAGCAAACAGG
rnacentral:rRNA from 1 species